AAGUCGAACGAAGUAGCAAUACUUAGUGGCAGACGGGUGAGUAACAUGUAGGUAUCUACCCUUUGGCCUGGAAUAACACGAGGAAACUUGUGCUAAUACCGGAUAAGUCUUUACGGAGAAAGCUUUAUGCACCAUUGGAUGAGCCUGCACUUGAUUAGUUUGUUGGUGGGGUAAUGGCCUACCAAGACUGUGAUCAAUAGCUGAUUUGAGAGGAUGAUCAGCCACAUUGGGACUGAGACACGGCCCAAACUCCUACGGGAGGCAGCAGUGGGGAAUCUUGCACAAUGGAGGAAACUCUGAUGCAGCGAUGCCGCGUGAGUGAAGAAGGCCUUUGGGUUGUAAAGCUCUUUCGUCGGGGAAGAAAAUGACUGUACCCGAAUAAGAAGGUCCGGCUAACUUCGUGCCAGCAGCCGCGGUAAUACGAAGGGACCUAGCGUAGUUCGGAAUUACUGGGCUUAAAGAGUUCGUAGGUGGUUGAAAAAGUUGGUGGUGAAAUCCCAGAGCUUAACUCUGGAACUGCCAUCAAAACUUUUCAGCUAGAGUAUGAUAGAGGAAAGCAGAAUUUCUAGUGUAGAGGUGAAAUUCGUAGAUAUUAGAAAGAAUACCAAUUGCGAAGGCAGCUUUCUGGAUCAUUACUGACACUGAGGAACGAAAGCAUGGGUAGCGAAGAGGAUUAGAUACCCUCGUAGUCCAUGCCGUAAACGAUGUGUGUUAGACGUUGGAAAUUUAUUUUCAGUGUCGCAGUGAAAGCGAUAAACACACCGCCUGGGGAGUACGACCGCAAGGUUAAAACUCAAAUGAAUUGACGGGGACCCGCACAAGUAGUGGAGCAUGUGGUUUAAUUCGAAGAUACGCGCAGAACCUUACCAACACUUGACAUGUUCGUCGCGACUUUAAGAGAUUAAAGUUUUCGGUUCGGCCGGACGAAACACAGGUGCUGCAUGCUGUCGUCAGCUCGUGUUCGUGAGAUGUGGUUAGUCCCGCAACGAGCGCACCCUCACUUUAGGUUGCCAUCAUUUAGGUGGGCACUCUGAAAGACUGCCAGUGAUAAGCUGAGAAGUGGGAUGACGUCAGUCCUCAUGCCUUAGGGUGGCUACCCACGUGCUACAUGGAAUCUACAAAGAGCAAACGCGACGUAGCAUCUUAAAGAACCCAGUCGAAUGCCCCUCGCACCCAGGGCAUGACCUGAAAUACAAAAAUCUGGAUCCAGCGGGUCCCAGGGUGAUGC
rnacentral:rRNA from 1 species